rnacentral:rRNA from 1 species
UACGUAGGUGUCGAGCGUUGUCCGGAUUUACUGGGCGUAAAGAGCGCGCAGGCGGUCGUUCAAGUCGCGUGUGAAAGCCCCCGGCUCAACUGGGGAGGGUCACGCGAUACUGAUCGACUCGAAGGCAGGAGAGGGUAGUGGAAUUCCCGGUGUAGUGGUGAAAUGCGUAGAUAUCGGGAGGAACACCAGUGGCGAAGGCGACUACCUGGCCUGUUCUUGACGCUGAGGCGCGAAAGCUAGGGGAGCAAACGGG